UUGCGGUGUAAAAAANAGCGUGCGUCCUAUUAGCUAGUUGGAGAGGUAAUGGCUCACCAAGGCUACGAUGGGUAGGGGUUCUUAGUGGAAGGUCCCCCACACUGGCACUGAGAUACGGGCCAGACUCCUACGGGAGGCAGCAGUAGGGAAUAUUGGUCAAUGGGCGCAAGCCUGAACCAGCCAUGCCGCGUGCAGGAUGAAAGCUCUCUGAGUUGUAAACUGCUUUUGUACAGGAGCAAAAAAGUCCCUGCGGGGAUUCUUGAGAGUACUGUAAGAAUAAGCACCGGCUAAUUCCGUGCCAGCAGCCGCGGUAAUACGGAAGGUGCAAGCGUUAUCCGGUUUUAUUGGGUUUAAAGGGUGCGUAGGCGGCUUAUUAAGUCAGUUGUGAAAUCCUAGUGCUUAACGCUAGAACUGCAAUUGAUACUAUUAGGCUUGANUUAAGAAUAG
rnacentral:rRNA from 1 species